GUAAUCUUGCGUUGCUCUAGUUACUAGAAAUAAUAAGGAAGCUGCUAAUUGGUGAGUGGCAAAUAAGACUCUUUAAGAAGCAUCAGAAGCUCUUUAAGUAAGCCACUGGAAGCCACUCUUCAUUUCUUUGCUGUCGGAGAUGAGUGUCUACAUCCUGGAAUUAAACUUGACCCAGAAGGAGUCUGUCCCAUCAGCUGGUGUGACAGAAAGAGUUACAGGAAGGCAUCUCGCCUCACUUCCCUCCUCCGUGAUGCCAGACAUCUGAAAUUUGGGCUUUGGAGACGGCCCUGACAUACUCUCAGUCUUUACAAUUCCGUUCAUAUCAGGCAAAUACUUCUGCAGACCGUAAAUUAAAGGCUUAGGGUAGUUACCGCUCACUGUUAAAUCUAGAAAGCCAUCCAUCAAGGCUCCAUCAAGAAUGCGCCCAGGCAGACGCUUUGAGACAGGAGGAAAGCUGGAGGGUAUUGGGAAUGAAGGGAAGGAGGCCAGAAAGGAGACAAUGAUAAUCAAAGCCCUUCUGUGGCCCUCAAGGCUCCUGGGACGUGGCCCUACCCACCUCUCCAAUCUCAGCCACCAUUAUUCUCCCCUUGGCUUUUUGGCCUUUCUCUUCCUGAACAGGUCAUCCUUUCUCCUGCCUUAGGACAUCCCCAGUACCUGUUGCUAGAAUAUUCUUCCUCAGGACCUUCUUCUCAUGGCUGCUUUACCUUGUCAUGAAUGUCUCAGCUCCCAUUUCACUGACUCUGAAAGGUCUUCCUCGAUCACCCAGCCUCAGGUUGUCCUUCCUUCCAUGUCUACCCCAAUCCCUCUCUAUUACGUUACACUAGAUUAUUUUCUUUCUAGCACUUACUCUCUCUGAAAUGAUCUUGUUUGCUCAUUUGAUUACUUGUUUUCUGUCUUCCUUACUAAACUCUGUUUUGUUAUGAGGCUUUUGUUUUUUAUUAGAAGACUUUGUUUUGCCUAAUGCUGGGUCUCCUUAUCCCCAGCCUCUUGGAAAUUUCUUAGCAUUGAUUAGGUAGUCAAUAAAUGUUUGUUUAUUGAAUGAAGAAAUGGAAGAAUAAAAUAUAAACUUAAUUACUUCAAGAUG
ensembl:lncRNA